rnacentral:rRNA from 1 species
UACGUAGGGGGCGAGCGUUAUCCGGAAUUAUUGGGCGUAAAGGGCGCGUAGGCGGCUCUGUAAGUCAGAUGUGAAAGCGCACGGCUCAACCGAGGGGGUGCAUUUGAAACUGCAAAACUUGAGUGAUGGAGGGGAAAGUGGAAUUCCUAGUGUAGCGGUGAAAUGCGUAGAGAUUAGGAGGAACACCAGUGGCGAAGGCGACUUUCUGGACUGUAACUGACGCUGAGGUACGAAAGCGUGGGUAGCAAACAGG